rnacentral:rRNA from 1 species
CACGUAGGGCGCAAGCGUUGUCCGGAAUUAUUGGGCGUAAAGAGCGCGUAGGCGGUCCGGUAAGUCGGUUGUGAAAGUCGGGGGGCUCAACCCUCGGAUGCCGGUGGAUACUGUCGGGCUUGAGUACGGAAGAGGCGAGUGGAAAUUCCUGGUGUAGCGGGUGAAAUGCGUAGAUAUCUGGAAGGAACACCGGUGGCGAAGG